UCAGCCGGCCAUAGUGAUGUGGGAUCUACCUGGUCUCGUCAGACCCCAGAAGUCAAACCAUAUCACGCCUUUGCGUUAGUGAUGUGCAGAAGCCAUCGCGAAGCGAAGGUGCCGGCGCCU
rnacentral:rRNA from 1 species